GAGAGAGAGAGCAAGAGAGGAAGGGGAGGCAGGAGGGAUGGACAGUUGCUCAAAAGCUGACUUUACUGGCUGGCUUUCCUAUCAGGGCAGCUCACACGCAUCCAAAUCCCAGAUUAAACACCCCCACGUCUCUUUCCAACCAGCAGCACUCCUACAAGUCCCUGCUCCCCCUCUUUCUGUAACUGUACUGAGCGUGGAUUACCAAACUCUGAAGCAAAGCAGGGGCUCUGACAGGCUCCAAACAGAAUGGUGGUUUCAUCCCAACAUCACUGGGAUCGAGGCAGAACACCUGCUCCUGACACGGGGCGUCCAUGGCAGCUUUCUAGCGAGACCCAGCAAGAGCAACCCAGGAGAUUUCACUCUCUCUGUCAGGAGGAACGAUGAGGUCACCCAUAUUAAAAUCCAGAACUCGGGGGACUAUUAUGACCUGUACGGAGGGGAGAAGUUUGCCACGCUGGCUGAAUUGGUCCAGUACUACACCGAGCAGCACGACCUCCUGCGGGAACGCAAUGGAGAUGUUAUCGAGCUGAAAUACCCCCUCAACUGCAAAGACCCCACGUCUGAGAGGUGGUAUCAUGGGCAUCUCUCAGGGAGAGAUGCUGAAAAGCUCCUUACGGAGAAGGGCAAAUCCGGCAGCUUCCUGGUGAGAGAGAGCCAAAGUAAACCGGGAGACUUUGUGCUUUCCGUCCUCACUAAUGAAGAAAAGCAUGACAAUUUAGACCGCAAGACUAAAGUUACCCAUGUCAUGAUCCGUUAUCAGGAUGGAAAAUAUGAUGUAGGAGGAGGGGAGAGGUUUGACACUUUGGCAGAUUUAGUGGAGCAUUAUAAGAAAAACCCCAUGGUUGAGAAGAGUGGAAUUGUUGUACACCUUAAACAGCCAUUCAAUGCCACAAGGAUAAAUGCAGCAAACAUUGAAAACAGGGUACGAGAAUUAAAUAAAGUAGCUGACAACUCGGAGAAACCCAAGCAAGGCUUCUGGGAAGAAUUUGAGGUUUUACAGCAGCAAGAAUGUAAACUCCUUUACCCCAGGAAAGAGGGGCAGAAACCAGAAAACAAAAACAAGAACAGAUAUAAGAACAUACUACCAUUUGACACCACUCGAGUGCAGAUCAAGGAGGCGGAUCCUGACGUGCCAGGCUCCGAUUACAUCAACGCUAACUAUAUCCGAAGCAUGAAUGAAGAAGGUCGUCAUAUGGGUGAAGGGAAAGUGUUCAUCGCCACUCAGGGUUGCCUUCAGAACACUGUCGUAGACUUCUGGAAAAUGGUGUACCAGGAAAACACUCAUGUUAUUGUCAUGACAACCAAGGAGAUGGAGAGAGGACGGAAUAAGUGUGUGCGGUACUGGCCGGACUUAAAUUCAACAAAGGAGUUUGGGAAGGUGUGUGUGAAGAACAUUGAGGAACACACAGCUCAGGACUACAUACGGCGAGAGCUUGAAGUUACACGUCUAGACAGGAGAGAGCCUCCCAGGUGUAUCUGGCACUAUCAGUACCUGAGCUGGCCAGAUCACGGUGUUCCCAAUGAACCUGGAGGAGUCUUGAGCUUCCUGGAGCAAGUCAACAGAACCCAGAGUGCCAUUCCAGAGAGUGGACCAAUAGUGGUUCACUGCAGUGCAGGGAUUGGAAGAACAGGCACAAUUAUUGUAAUUGACAUCCUUAUUGAUAUCAUAAACAGACAAGGGUUGGAUUGUGACAUCGACAUCCCAAAGACCAUUCAGAGAGUGCGCCAGCAACGAUCCGGUAUGGUUCAGACCGAGGCCCAGUACAAGUUCAUCUACAUGGCUGUUCAGCAAUACAUUGACACCGCUCAGAAGAGACUGGAAGAGGAGCAGAGGAAUAAAACAAAGGAGAGAGAGUACUCUAACAUCAAGUACCCACAGAUGUCAAAUGCCAGAGCCAAGCCAAACAUGAGCUCGUCUCGCUCUUCAUCUGUAAUGAACGAUGACUCUGGCGUUUAUGAGAAUUUGAACAUCAAAAAUCCAAAGGGCUCCACCAGCAGCAAUACCAGGAGAUAAGAUACUGUAUGUGGGAUGUCGUCUCAGGAACUCUGCGAAAUUUGUCGGAAGGCACGAAGGGAUGUGUCCAUAAAAUUUCCAGAGGUGCUGUGUAGAAGCACCUGAUCAUGGAGCGACACUGGAUUACAGCACUGGGGGGAGGGGGGCACCAGCAGCACCUACACUGAGGCGAAGCCGCCCAGCUGCUCGGCUUGAGAUUCCACCGAAAUCUCCAACAGCUCCUCUCUUCAUUUCCUGACUGACUACGUCUAAGAAACUCACACUCCAAAACCAAGUGCCUAAGCAGCAGCUGAAAUUGUUCCCGCAAAGGACGCGUGACUUGGUGCUUUCUCUCCCCACUUCUAGUCUAACAAGCCUCUCUACUCUGCACUAAGCUACAUGAUGGUUUGUAUAUGUGUGAAAUAUACAUGAAAUAUGAAUAUUUACACUCAGUGACGUAACUUUGGAUGAAGCUACGCUAUUUCCAUGCUGUCUACGGCUGUUUCCAGACCUUGCUUUGUCUACUGGAUGUCAUCUACUGUAACCAAAGACCUUUGAUAUAUAUCUCAGAAGCAGCGGUUAUUUACGCUCCGCUGAGUGAUGCUCAUGGCACGGUGAUAUAAGAAGAGAAGUACAACGCCCAGCGUCAAGAAUCCCCCCUUUUCUUUUCAGAGCAUAUGAGAGGUGAUUGGUCAAAAUAAAGUUCGACCAAUGAUUUGGAUACCUUAUGUAAGUAGGUGUUUUAAAUGGGCUGAUUUGGUACAGUGUGGUAGAAUCUAUACAGUAUGUGCCAAUUAGCAGCCUGUACAUCAUAUUCAUAAAAGCUUCUGCUUUGAUGCCUUUUUAUUGAGCAUUACCUCCAGGCUAAUGAACAGUCGGAGGGAGUCAAGUGCUACUGUCAAUCAAAGGCUUAUCAACCAAUCAGGCUGCCUCUUCAUCAACGUGCUCCUCCCUCUAUGCGUCGGCUUUCUUGUUCUGAAAACAUCAGGUGAGCCUUUAUUAGGUAGGGUUUUGUUUGUUUGUUAAUAGUAAUUUUGUUUGCAACUAUGAUUCCUUUAGAGCAAUUGUAUCUUUUCUUGUGAUAUUUGUGAAUGUGAUUAUGAAAUCUAGGCCUGGCAUUUUUUUAUAAAAUGCAUUUCUCGUAUUUUUGACUAUUUUAUUCCACAUUUUCAUCCUAAGAGACACAUUAAGCUCCUUUAUCACAUAUAAACAGGGUAUGUGUGUAUAAAUGGCCCGAUAAAGCUCUUUACGUAAAUAGCGGGUUGUGAUGAUUGCACUGAGGAGGCCUUCAAAUGAAAAAAAAAAACGUAAAAUAAAAAAGUGGUGUUACUAAACCUCUACAAGGGAGGGGGUACGUCAGGAUGCAUUUCGGUGGAGACUUUAACUAAAAAGGAGGCAGGCCAGAUGGCCUGCAGCUAAGAUUAAAGAAAUAGAUUUGUGUAGGGCGAAAAAAGUAAUUUAAAACAUGGCCGUAAAUUAAUCCACACGUAGCUAUUAUUAGGAGAGGUCAGCAGUCAUAAGAUGUUAUAUAUACAUUACCAGGUCAGUAAGGGUUUGGGGUCAGUAAGAUUUUU